AGCCAUCUCACCAGCCCUCCUCAGACUCUUAAGUGGUGGAAACAGCUUCCUUAUUCAAAGGUUAAAAAUCAGGGAUAUAUUAAGAUACUGGCUUUAGAAUCCGGUCCAACUCAAGGUUCUGCAUAUCUGUACAAUUUAGAAGGUGGCCAAUGCUACUACCAAUGCAGACGUGAUCAGAGCAAUUUGAUUCUUGAGUUUACUUAUUUUUAAUGUAUGUGCAUUGGUGUUUUGCCUGCACAUAUGUCUGUGUGAGGCUGUUGUAGUUGUGAGUUGCUGUGUUAGUUGAACCCAGGUCCUCUGGAAGAACUGUCAGUGCUCUUUACCACUGAGCUAUCUCUUCAGCCCCUGGCCUCAGAAAUUUGAAUCCAGAGGGAAAUAUCAUCAUGGGACUGAGAACUAGGUGGGGUGGAGGGAUGCUAGUUCCCUUCUGGGAAGAAGGAAUGAGAAAGUCCUGAGGAAGGAUGGUAACUCACGGCUCUCUAGUCCGAAGGCCACAUUCUGGGGCCCCGAGCAGGCUGGGCUAUAGGUGACUUACUUCUCUUCCCAGGGGUCCAGGCCAUGGGUGCCAGAGUGGUGUGGGGGUGGGAAGGAGUUGAUUGAGGUUGUUAGUGUAAGGUUUCCUGAGCACUCCGCCUACCGGGACACUCCCAGGGAGUAGCCACUGGCCCUGAAGAUAAGCCUCACCAAGGAAUUCAUUCAGACCCCGCCUGUCUGAGCUAGGGAGAGCACCAUUAUGUUUGAAGGAAAUUGUUUGCCGAUCUGAAACCUGUUACACGAUAAGGAGGGGCUAGGGACGUACCCCAGUGCCAGAGCCCUUGCCUAGUGGCUUCAGUCGCCAGCAC
rnacentral:lncRNA from 1 species